CAUAAUUCCAUCCUGCAAACCUCCAGUGCUCUUGGCUGCUGCUGUCCUAGUCCAGGGCUACCUGAAAGCUCUGUGCCCCACCGAAAUCUCACCAGGUCUGGAUGCCCUCUGGAGGUUGGUGCACCAACCUAUUUCCUGCAUCUCUCUCUGCAAAGCACAAUGCCUAGCUCUGCUGAGAGCUGAGGAAAAGCACCCAGGCAGCACAGAUGUAGCAGAGACCUCUCCAGCAGUGAUUGCUGUGCCCAGCAGCCAGCCAGCAGCAUGGCAUAGGUGAGAUGUUCCCCUGGCAAAGGAAGGCACAAAGUCUAUCUUCAGUUUCCUGCUUCUCUCGUCAUGCACAGAAGGGAAGCUUAAAAAGUAGGACAUCAUGUGGGAGUGAGGAUGAGAAAGGAUUUGGGGAGCCUUCUGCACUGGAAUGAUGACUGACAUGGCAAGGGGUCUGCAGCAGAGUGAGUGAAUAACUUAAUAAUGAGGCUUGUUUAUGGUGAGAAUACAAAAUAACUACAUGAGAAGGGUUCUAGGCAAGACAGAGAUGAUUGUGCUGUCUGUGGCAGAAAAUGUAUAAUUGCUUUCAAAUUAAAUGGAAUAACUGAAAAAAAAAAUAUUAAGAUUCUCUGCUUCUAUCCUCAGUGCAUUGUUGGAGGUUGGACUCCAUUUGGAAUCACUCGGCCCCAUCCAGACUUUGCGAAGAAAAACAUCCCCAGAAAAAGUGAAUUCAUUCUCAUCUAUUCUGGAAAGCAGAACAGCAGCAUACGCUGCAUACACGUUGGUUUUGAGGGUAGAGAUAAAACAAUGAUCUAAAACUGGUGGAUGUGAGGAACAAGGAGAAAAAUAAACACCAUGAGAGAAAA